rnacentral:rRNA from 1 species
CCCAGACUCCUACGGGAGGCAGCAGUCGGGAAUAUUGCGCAAUGGAGGAAACUCUGACGCAGUGACGCCGCGUGCAGGAAGAAGGUUUUCGGAUUGUAAACUGCUUUAGACAGGGAAGAAACAAGACAGUACCCGGAGAAAAAGCAUCGGCUAACUCCGUGCCAGCAGCCGCGGUAAUACGGAGGAUGCGAGCGUUAUCCGGAUUUAUUGGGUUUAAAGGGUGCGCAGGCGGCGAGUUAAGUCAGCGGUAAAAUUCCGGGGCUCACCCCCGACAAGCCGUUGAAACUGGCUUGCUAGAGUGGGCGAGAAGUAUGCGGAAUGCGUGGUGUAGCGGUGAAAUGCAUAGAUAUCACGCAGAACUCCGAUUGCGAAGGCAGCAUACCGGCGCCCAACUGACGCUCAGGCACGAAAGCGUGGGUAUCGAACAGGAUUAGAUACCCCUGUA